UACGGAGGGUGCGAGCGUUGUCCGGAAUCACUGGGCGUAAAGCGCGCGCAGGCGGCCACUUAAGUCCGCUGGUGAAAGACCGGGGCUCAACCCCGUGUCAGCCAGGGAUACUGGGUGGCUGGAGACAGGUAGAGGCAAGCGGAAUUCCGGGUGUAGCGGUGGAAUGCGUAGAGAUCCGGAAGAACACCGGAGGCGAAGGCGGCUUGCUGGACCUGGUCUGACGCUGAGGCGCGAAAGCGUGGGGAGCGAACAGG
rnacentral:rRNA from 1 species